rnacentral:rRNA from 1 species
AACUAGCAUAUCAAUAAGCGGAGGAAAAGAAACUAACAAGGAUUCCCCUAGUAGCGGCGAGCGAAGCGGGAAGAGCUCAAAUUUGUAAUCUGGCACCUUCGGUGUCCGAGUUGUAAUCUCUAGAAGUGUUUUCCGCGUUGGACCGCACACAAGUCUGUUGGAAUACAGCGGCAUAGUGGUGAUACCCCAUUACACGGUGCGGACGCCCAGCGCUUUGUGAUACACUUUCGACGAGUCGAGUUGUUUGGGAAUGCAGCUCAAAUUGGGUGGUAAAUUCCAUCUAAAGCUAAAUAUUGGCGAGAGACCGAUAGCGAACAAGUACCGUGAGGGAAAGAUGAAAAGCACUUUGGAAAGAGAGUUAAAAGUACGUGAAAUUGUUGGAAGGGAAACGCUUGAAGUCAGACUUGCUUGCCGGGCUUGCUCGGUUUGCAGGCCAGCAUCAGUUUUCUGGGACGGAUAAUGGCAGUUAGAAUGUAGCAGUCUCGGCUGUGUUAUAGCUUUCUGCUGGAUACGUCCUGGGGGACUGAGGAACGCAGCGUGCCGUAUGGCGAGGGCUUUGGUCCUUUCACGCUUAGGAUGCUGGUGGAAUGGCUUUAAACGACCCGUCUUGAAACACGGACCAAGGAGUCUAACAUGCUUGCGAGUAUUUGGGUGUCAAACCCGGAUGCGUAAUGAAAGUGAAUGGAGGUGGGAAGCGCAAGCUGCACCAUCGACCGAUCUGGAUUUUCUAAGAUGGAUUUGAGUAAGAGCACGUAUGUUGGGACCCGAAAGAUGGUGAACUAUGCCUGAAUAGGGCGAAGCCAGAGGAAACUCUGGUGGAGGCUCGUAGCGGUUCUGACGUGCAAAUCGAUUCG